rnacentral:rRNA from 1 species
AGCGAACGCUGGCGGCAGGCCUAACACAUGCAAGUCGAACGAACUCUUCGGAGUUGGUUGCGGACAGGUGUGGAACACGUGGGAACGUGCAUUUAGGUUCGGAAUAACUCAGUGUCGCUUGUGCUAAUACCGAAUGAGCCCCUCUGGGACAAGAUUCAUCCCCUUUGUAGAGGCACGCGUCGUUUUAACAUGGUGGUGAGGUAAAGGCGCAUGAAGGCGACGAUAAGUAGCUGGGCUGAGAGAAAGAGCAGCCACAUUGAGUAUGGGACACGGUCCAAACUCCUACAGGAAGCAGCAAAGGGGAAUCUUGCGCAAUGGGCGAAAUGCUGACGGAGCCAGGCUGCGUGAAUGAUGAAGGUCUUAGGGUUGUAAAAUUCUUUAACCGGGGACGAUAAUGACGGUACCCAGAGAAGAAGCCCCGGCUAACUUCGUG